rnacentral:rRNA from 1 species
GAGUUUGAUCUUGGCUCAGAACGAACGCUGGCGGCAUGCCUAACACAUGCAAGUCGAACGGGAUCCAGGCUUCGGCCUGGUGAGAGUGGCGGACGGGUGAGUAACGCGUGGGAACCUGCCCAAUGGUCUGGGAUAACCGCGGGAAACUGCGGCUAAUACCGGAUAAGCCCGAGAGGGGAAAGAUUUAUCGCCGAUGGAGGGGCCCGCGUCCGAUUAGGUAGUUGGUGAGGUAACGGCUCACCAAGCCGACGAUCGGUAGCUGGUCUGAGAGGAUGAUCAGCCACACUGGGACUGAGAUACGGCCCAGACUCCUACGGGAGGCAGCAGUGGGGAAUAUUGGACAAUGGGGGCAACCCUGAUCCAGCAAUGCCGCGUGAGUGAUGAAGGCCUUAGGGUUGUAAAGCUCUUUUGGCGGGACGAUGAUGACGGUACCCGCAGAAUAAGCCCCGGCUAACUUCGUGCCAGCAGCCGCAGU